GCAGGGCCAGCGGUACACUUUGUGCUCUCAGGAGAACAUUUGUUUUCACUUUAAGUGGUGUAGCGAGGUUAAGGGUCACACAUGCACCAGGUUACAUCAGGGGGUAGGAAGGAGCAGGCGGUGGGGGAGGCCAGCAGGGUCCCAGGCAGGGAGGUCACAGCGUGGAGUCCUCGCAGAGGACGAUCUCCAGCUCAGUGCGGUACAGUUUCCCUCCGUCAGACAGAGCCAUGAUGCUCUUCUUGUACCCCACCAGUCCUGUUGAGUCCACGUCCUGCCAGAAACGACACAGUCACACACGAGGUCCUUCAGCAAAGCAUCCAGCUCCUGCUCAUCAAUAUACCCACUACCAUCCUGGUGAAAGAGAACAACAGGAGAGAUGAUCCAUCUUUCGUCUCUAGGAGGGACAAAGAGGGUUUGUUGUCAGACAACAGCUGCAGGAGGAGAGAGAGCGGCUCGUUUGCAUCGCUGCAGCGUCGCUGUGACAGAGAGCAGAUGUUCGCUGUGAUUGCUUAGUGGUGUGUUUAUUUCUACUCUCUUCCUCAUCGAGUUGGAGUUGAAACAUUACUGUCAUCCUCAACAUUCAUGCUGCGUGAAGACUCACACUCCACUUUUCCAAAAUGACCCUGAAAAUGUCAUUUUGUGUUGUGACAUUAUAUUACAAUGACUCCAGAAAUAUAAGACCAUCGUGUAUAAACUGGUUU